rnacentral:rRNA from 1 species
GAUCUAGCCAUGGGCAGGUUGAAGGUUGGGUAACACUAACUGGAGGACCGAACCGACUAAUGUUGAAAAAUUAGCGGAUGACUUGUGGCUGGGGGUGAAAGGCCAAUCAAACCGGGAGAUAGCUGGUUCUCCCCGAAAGCUAUUUAGGUAGCGCCUCGUGAAUUCAUCUCCGGGGGUAGAGCACUGUUUCGGCAAGGGGGUCAUCCCGACUUACCAACCCGAUGCAAACUGCGAAUACCGGAGAAUGUUAUCACGGGAGACACACGGCGGGUGCUAACGUCCGUCGUGAAGAGGGAAACAACCCAGACCGCCAGCUAAGGUCCCAAAGUCAUGGUUAAGUGGGAAACGAUGUGGGAAGGCCCAGACAGCCAGGAUGUUGGCUUAGAAGCAGCCAUCAUUUAAAGAAAGCGUAAUAGCUCACUGGUCGAGUCGGCCUGCGCGGAAGAUGUAACGGGGCUAAACCAUGCACCGAAGCUGCGGCAGCGACGCUGAUGCGUUGUUGGGUAGGGGAGCGUUCUGUAAGCCUG